CCUACGGGAGGCAGCAGUGGGGAAUCUUAGACAAUGGGGGAAACCCUGAUCUAGCCAUGCCGCGUGAUCGAUGAAGGCCUUAGGGUCGUAAAGCUCUUUUACCAGGGAUGAUAAUGACAGUACCUGGAGAAUAAGCUCCGGCUAACUCCGUGCCAGCAGCCGCGGUAAUACGGAGGGAGCUAGCGUUGUUCGGAAUUACUGGGCGUAAAGCGUACGUAGGCGGUUAUUCAAGUCAGAGGUGAAAGCCCGGGGCUCAACCCCGGAACGGCCUUUGAAACUAGGUAGCUAGAAUCUUGGAGAGGUCAGUGGAAUUCCGAGUGUAGAGGUGAAAUUCGUAGAUAUUCGGAAGAACACCAGUGGCGAAGGCGACUGACUGGACAAGUAUUGACGCUGAGGUACGAAAGCGUGGGGAGCAAACAGGAUUAGAUACCCUGGUAGUCCACGCCGUAAACGAUGAUAACUAGCUGUUCGGGCACUUGGUGCUUGAGUGGCGCAGCUAACGCAUUAAGUUAUCCGCCUGGGGAGUACGGUCGCAAGAUUAAAACUCAAAUGAAUUGACGG
rnacentral:rRNA from 1 species